rnacentral:rRNA from 1 species
UACGUAGGGUGCGAGCGUUGUCCGGAAUUAUUGGGCGUAAAGAGCUCGUAGGCGGUUUGUCACGUCGGAUGUGAAAUCCCCGGGGCUUAACUCCGGGUCUGCAUUCGAUACGGGCUGACUAGAGUUCGGCAGGGGAGACUGGAAUUCCUGGUGUAGCGGUGGAAAUGCGCAGAUAUCAGGAGGAACACCGGUGGCGAAGGCGGGUCUCUGGGCCGAUACUGACGCUGAGGAGCGAAAGCGUGGGGAGCGAACAGG